UUGGAGGGCAAGUCUGGUGCCAGCAGCCGCGGUAAUUCCAGCUCCAAUAGCGUAUAUUAAAGUUGUUGCAGUUAAAAAGCUCGUAGUUGAAUUUCGGGAUCAAUGGAUUGGUCAUGCCGUUGGUAUGUACUGAUUUUAUUGAUUCUCACCUUCUAAAGAAUCAUAAUGCCAUUAAUUUGGUGUUGUGAGGAAUUAGGACUGUUACCUUGAAAAAAUUAGAGUGUUUAAAGCAGGCUUACGCUUGAAUACAUUAGCAUGGAAUAACGAAAUAGGACAUCGCAUUCUAUUUUGUUGGUUUCUAGGAUCGAUGUAAUGAUUAAUAGGGAUAGUUGGGGGCAUUAGUAUUCAAUUGUCAGAGGUGAAAUUCUUGGAUUUAUUGAAGACUAACUACUGCGAAAGCAUUUGCCAAGGAUGUUUUCAUUAAUCAAGAACGAAAGUUAGGGGAUCGAAGACGAUCAGAUACCGUCGUAGUCUUAACCAUAAACUAUGCCGACUAGGGAUCGGAUGAUGUUAAUUUUUUAAUGACUCAUUCGGCACCUUACGGGA
rnacentral:rRNA from 1 species